CAUGCAAGUCGAACGAGAGAGAAGGAGCUUGCUUCUUCGAUCGAGUGGCGAACGGGUGAGUAACGCGUGAGGAACCUGCCUCAAAGAGGGGGACAACAGUUGGAAACGACUGCUAAUACCGCAUAAGCCCACGGGUCGGCAUCGACCUGAGGGAAAAGGAGUGAUCCGCUUUGAGAUGGCCUCGCGUCCGAUUAGCUAGUUGGUGAGGUAAUGGCCCACCAAGGCGACGAUCGGUAGCCGGACUGAGAGGUUGAACGGCCACAUUGGGACUGAGACACGGCCCAGACUCCUACGGGAGGCAGCAGUGGGGAAUAUUGCACAAUGGGGGAAACCCUGAUGCAGCGACGCCGCGUGGAGGAAGAAGGUCUUCGGAUUGUAAACUCCUGUUGUUGAGGAAGAUAAUGACGGUACUCAACAAGGAAGUGACGGCUAACUACGUGCCAGCAGCCGCGGUAAAACGUAGGUCACAAGCGUUGUCCGGAAUUACUGGGUGUAAAGGGAGCGCAGGCGGGAAGACAAGUUGGAAGUGAAAUCUAUGGGCUCAACCCAUAAACUGCUUUCAAAACUGUUUUUCUUGAGUAGUGCAGAGGUAGGCGGAAUUCCCGGUGUAGCGGUGGAAUGCGUAGAUAUCGGGAGGAACACCAGUGGCGAAGGCGGCCCACUGGGCACCAACUGACGCUGAGGCUCGAAAGUGUGGGUAGCAAACAGGAUUAGAUACCCUGGUAGUCCACACCGUAAACGAUGAUUACUAGGUGUUGGAGGAUUGACCCCUUCAGUGCCGCAGUUAACACAAUAAGUAAUCCACCUGGGGAGUACGACCGCAAGGUUGAAACUCAA
rnacentral:rRNA from 1 species